rnacentral:rRNA from 1 species
CAGCACGCCGCGUGAGUGAUGACGGCCUUCGGGUUGUAAAGCUCUGUCUUCAGGGACGAUAAUGACGGUACCUGAGGAGGAAGCCACGGCUAACUACGUGCCAGCAGCCGCGGUAAUACGUAGGUGGCGAGCGUUGUCCGGAUUUACUGGGCGUAAAGGGAGCGUAGGCGGAUUUUUAAGUGAGAUGUGAAAUACUCGGGCUUAACCUGAGUGCUGCAUUUCAAACUGGAAAUCUAGAGUGCAGGAGAGGAAAAGGGAAUUCCUAGUGUAGCGGUGAAAUGCGUAAAGAUUAGGAAGAACACCAGUGGCGAAGGCGCUUCUCUGGACUGUAACUGACGCUGAGGCUCGAAAGCGUGGGGAGCAAACAGGAUUAAAUACCCUUGGUAGUCAAAG